CCCUAAAUUCUCCCAAUACUCUUAAGGCACAAAUUGGAGAUUAUAAGGAAAGAACUGCUUUUUGGGCAAGAGGGGUGAGAUGAUUUUGGAACCUAGCACUUUGGGAAGAGGCAGUGACUUUUGGUCAUUCUGGUUAUGGUUGGGGUGAUACUACUUUGAUGGAUCCAAAAGUGACUGCAACAGCACCCUCUCGAGUGGAGGAUCAGAGACUCCAACCAAGAAAUGUUAUCUGCUUCUGAGCUCUGCCUACUACACCGUUUUCCUUUUUAUUUGCUCUGUCAGUUAUCCUCUCUUUGCCUUUCCAGUUCUUUCUAAUAACCUGUAUAACUAGGUCCCUGUAUUAUAUAGUCUCUACAUAAAAUAAUUAGAAUAGUUUUUGUUUUCCUGACUAGAUACUAUCCAUUUAAGAUUUUUCAUUUUGAUGAUUAUGUUUUCCACUUUUGUAAACUCAAUUCUAUUGGAUUAUUAUUUUAAGCAUUUCAGAUUUGCUUUUAUAUAUUCUAUAUCAGCUAAUUUCAUUAUCUGCAAUGUUUGGGGUCUAAAUGUAUGAUUUGUCAUUUCUACUGUAAAAAAUAAACAGAAACCUCAAUUAAAUGGAGUCAGGAUACCAGAAGAGGGAGCUCUCAUGCCCCGAGAAGACAGCCAAAUAGGAAGAAGAAAGAUUCCUCUUUCCUGGCAAUAUCUCAGCCAAGGAAAAGUCAUGGACUCUGUUUACUCUAGCUGUCCCACAUUUUUCCCCUCUAUGAAGGAGUUCUCCUUUCCUUGCUUUGUGGGGACUUAAAACUUGCACAUGGCUUGCCAUGGUAGCAGAUUCCAAAUGACCUUUCUCUACUGAUCCCAAGCUAAUCUCCCCCCCACCCCCGAAAAAUAAUUGGCAGUCUACUUGUUUUAGGUCAGCACUGCUAACUCUCAUUCAUGGUGGGUCAUUUCCUUUUGUGUAUAAUGGACUUCGAGAAAGUAAACAAAUCUCUUCCUUUUUUUUUUCUUUUGGCUUUUCUAGAGCCACACCUGCGGCAAAUGGAGGUUCCCAGGCUAGGGGUUCAAUCGGAGCUGUAGCCUCUGGCCUAUGCCGCAGCCACAGCAACAUGGGAUCCGAGCCUCAUCUACAACCUCGACCUCCACCACAGCUCACAGCAAUGCCGGAUCCUUAACCCACUGAGCAAGGCCAGGGAUCGAACCCGCAACCUCAUGGUUCCUAGUCAGAUUUGUUAACCACUGAGAUCCUCCAGCUUCUUUAUCUUGCUGUUGGCUUAUAGUUUUCUUUCUGGAUUAAUUGUUUUUAUUUUCAUUUGCCAUUAAAGACAACCCCUGUGUCUUGUACGUGUUUACUGUGUUUCAGUCCACGUUUUUUACUUUCCCUGUUUGUUUCAGUCUAUGUUUUUUGCUUUCCCUGUUUGUUAAGAAUUUUACUUCAAUUUGUGAAACCUAACAAUGAAGUAAUAUUAAUUUUAUGCAAGAUGUGGUUGUUUUGAGUUAAGAUAACCAUUGAAAGUAAUUUUUACAUGGCUAGAAAUAGAUGUCUUCAUUCUGAUUUUCUACUUGUUCUACUCUGUGCUUGAGUAUUUUCAAAAUAGUAUUUUUUUAAUAAAAAUUCUAGUUUCUAAAAAAAUUAAUAGUAAUUCAGACAUAAGCAAAAAUGUAUUACUUUUCUCUUUCCUAUUACUAUUACAUUUUCUUUGUAAUUAAAUACUUCCUUUAAUUGUAAC
rnacentral:lncRNA from 1 species